rnacentral:misc_RNA from 1 species
ACCAGAAAACGCCUUUCGUUUUCCACACUUCCUCAAAGUGUCUAAACACUAUCAUCUAUAUAUGUAUGGCAUUAUAUUGUAACUUGUACUCAUUUUAUGUAUUCGUAAGCCAUGUUAGCUUUUUAGUGACACUUUUGUACUGAAAUAAAAUGGUUGUACUUCUAUCGUAAUAAUUGUCUAUUUCCCUACUUGUUGAAUCUUGUGUUGAUGCCAACUAGUUUGAGAAUAAAGAGUAAUUAAUUGAUAUAUUA